UAUAUAUAUAAUAAUUAUAUUAUUUUAUUACAAAAAAAUCGAAUUUGAAUAUAUUUAAUUAUUAAGUAACUGUUUAGUAGUUCAUUAACACUUUGUCGUGGAUGCAUGUAAAAAAGAUCAGGAAGAAGAAACGAUUCUUAAACGGUAUGCAAAGCGCGAGCAUUUACUUUGCUAGGACUUCGUGACGAUUCACUAUUCCGAGAUUGACCUUUUGUGCACACGACUGCCUCCAAAACGUGCAAGAGAUCUUUCCUAUUGACGAACUGUUGAGUCACAGAUUGAUACAUGGAUAUAUCACACAACAAUUUCAAUAGUUAACAUAAAAAUGUGAACAAUCUUAAAAUAAUAUUUUCAAAAAUGUAUAUAUAUAUAUAGCAUAAAUUUAAGAUAAAAUUUUACGUUUAUCUGUACUAUUGUAAAAAAAUUAAAAGAAAUCAGUAAAUUUAUAUAAUUUCUCAUCACUUAUAUUACUUACUAUUAGAAAAUAAUAAAAUAAAAUUUUUCUUCUAGUACUCAAAUAAUUUGGACGAUAUAAUUUCGAUUGUACUCAUUAAGCUGUGUUCACAAAAACAAAAUAUGCUCACGCACGAACAAUUUGCAACAUGUUCGGAUCGAUGAAUAGCUUAAGGAACAAAGACCGGAUACGAAAGUUACGCAACACAAUGUUUAUCCAACCAAUUAUCUAUGCUAGAACCUGGAGUGAACAUUUCACUUUUAUUCGAAUUGAUGCACGAAUCACACUACCGUGAUGAGGAACACUACCACCUGUUACGUAUACUUGUCUAACAUGUUGUAUUAACAAUUAUAUAUUCUUAUAUAUUUAAUAAGUUGAUGUUAUAAUUCUUAAUACACUAUCGAAAAGCAAUUUCGUGUCAAUAAAAAUGAAAGAAAAUUUAGAAAUUAUUAAAUUCAAGAUACUUUUAAAAAAUACUUUUAUUCAUGUUAAAUUUAAGGAAUAUAAUUAAAAUUAAAAUUAAUGAUAAUUGAUAAUUCCUGAUAAUACAAUAUAUAGAUUGCAAUCAAUCAUUCUCAUGGAAAAUAAUAUUAUUAGCCCAGCAAAAAAUAUUUCUUCUCGAAGAUAGUUAACAAGUGUUAUUACAGAGACAUACAUUCGGACGUAGAGUGACUCCUUGAAUGUGUGGCUGCCAAGUGCCUCUCGCUCUCGUUUUCUCCGCUUCAAGACUUUCGCCAGUUACCGAUUAGAAAUCUUAUGUUUAUUUUUGACGGGUUAAUAAUAGUAUUUUUUAAUCAUGUUACAGCGAAAAGGAAAAAAUUACUAAUACAACCAACACAAAAAAGUUGGAAUAAAACAAUUAACAAAUAAAAGAAGAAUAAAAAGUCAAGAUUGAUCAGAUAAGGAAAGAUCAAGUUAAGACAAAGCUGGAUGAAGCGACAUUAAGGAAGGUCUCAAAUCUAUCCGGAUGGACGGAUAAGGCAAGGACUGAGACCCGUUCUCUCUUCCAGAUUGAAUCAGGAAGCGAAUCGCGUGAUGCUUUGAAAGCAAGCAUUGAUGUAGAAGAUAUCGAUUGAUUCCUUGAACUGUUUUAAAAUUCCUUCGCAACAAUAUCUACUGAAGUUAAUUUGUCACGGUAGUCUGAAAAUCUAGCUCGUCAGUCGAAACAACGAAUCAAGGCCGGCCAGAAACACGUAUCAAGUUGCCAACUGUAUUAAUCCUCUAAUCGAACGUAUUCUAAGGUCGUUUAAUGGCACAUAUCUAUUAAUUUAAUUGCACGUAGUUUAUCUUCUCCCCUGGAGACAUAACAAUUAAUUAUCUCCACGUGAAAUAAGUUCUUUAUGAGAAUUGAGAAUUAUGGAGAAAUUGAGAGAGUGAAUUAUAUCAGAAGAAUAAACCAAUGUAUUACAAGAAA